ACGUGGCCUAGUGGUUAAGACGCUGGUCUCAUAUCCCAAUGGUCGUUGGUUCG
rnacentral:tRNA from 1 species